ACAACAAGAGGCAUGUACGCAAGUAAGUAAGUCAGUCAGUCAUGCAUGGUCCCGUUGGGUUCCAGGGAUAUGAUAUAUGUACGAUGCCCUGUUCGACGCUGGAUCACUCUCUGCAUCAGAGUAAGUAGAUCCUUUUGAGAUGUCUAUUAUUGUUAUUACUAUUGCAGAGACGUUCCGGAACUUAUAUAUAUAUAUAGUGUUCUUUCCAUACACAUAUCGGCAUUACUGCUGAUAAUACCCAAUUCACUGGCCAUCGGACCAUCAUCACACACAACGAGAGACAGACUUCCUCCGCGAUAAUCUCACUGGGC
rnacentral:sRNA from 1 species